CUCAUCCAAGUCUCCACUUGUAGAAUUAGUUCUUAUAAUGGCGAACAAAUUUACGCCCCUUUCAAGAGCCUCCUUCCCAUGGUGGACCCUAACGAUAUUGUAUUUGGGGUGUGGGACAUUAGCAACCUAAAUUUGGCAGAUGCCAUUGCCCGAGCCAAGGUACUCGACGUUGACCUUCAGAAACAACGGUGACCUUACAUGCAAGGCACGAUCUGCCUCUUCCUGGCAUCUUUGAUCCUGAUUUUAUAGCUGCAAACCAAGUUGAAAGGGCAAAUAAUAUCGUCAAGGGUUCCAAGAAGCAACAGGUGCAACACAUUGUUCAAGUCAUUAGGGAGUUAAAAGGCGGAAAAAAAAAGGUAGACAGAGUAGUUUUUCACUACACUGCCAAUGCAGAACGAUAUAAUGACAUUAUGAUGGGGCUGAAUGGACAAAGGAGGCUUUAUUGGCAGCUUUAGAAAGGGUCGACUCUGAUAUCUCACCCUCGACUCUUUAUGGUCUGGCCUGUAUUCAGGAGAAUAUUCCCUUCAUCAAUGGCGGCCCUCAGAAUACCUUUGUGCCAGGUCUUUGAAUGCAGAAGUUCAAAAUAGUCACAAAAACACAAUCAGAAAGCCUAGAAAGCCAAGCCCACAAAGCCAAGCCCAUAGAGAAGCUCAGAACAACCACAAAAGUCUACAAACAAAUUUGUUACCACUAGUUUGUUACCACUAUACUAGUUUUGUACACAAUUAAUUGACAAACAAUGUCCAGAACGAGUUCUUUCAAUUUAAAUUCCAUGUAAAUCAAUUAACAAUGCUCAAGGAAUAUAUGUUAAUAUAUAUAAGUAUUUCCUCUUUUUCCUCUU